AGAGUUUGAUCAUGGCUCAGAACGAACGCUGGCGGCAGGCCUCAAACAUGCAAGUCUAGGGGGCGUAGCAAUACGUCACCGGCGGACGGGUGCGUAACACGUGGGAAUGUACUUAUUGGUUCGGAACAACUCAGGGAAACUUGAGCUAAUACCGAAUGUGCCCGAAAGGGGAAAGAUUUAUCGCCAAUAAAUCAGCCCGCGUCCGAUUAGCUAGUUGGUGGGGUAAAGGCCCACCAAGGCGACGAUCGGUAGCUGUUCUGAGAGGAAGAUCAGCCACACUGGGACUGAGACACGGCCCAGACUCCUACGGGAGGCAGCAGUUGGGAAUCUUGGACAAUGGGGGAAACCCUGAUCCAGCCAUGCCGCGUGAGUGAUGAAGGCCUUCGGGUUGUAAAACUCUUUCGACGGGGACGAUAAUGACGGUACCCGUAGAAAGAAGCUCCGGCUAACUUUCGUGCCAGCAGCCGCGGUAAUACGAAGGGGGCUAGCGUUGUUCGGAAUUACUGGGCGUAAAGCGUGCGCAGGCGGUCUUCCAAGUCAGUGGUGAAAGCCCGGAGCUCAACUCCGGAACUGCCAUUGAAACUGUGAGACUCGAGUACGAGAGAGGUGAGUGGAAUUCCCAGUGUAGAGGUGAAAUUCGUAGAUAUUGGGAAGAACACCGGUGGCGAAGGCGGCUCACUGGCUCGUAACUGACGCUCAGGCACGACAGCGUGGGGAUCAAACAGGAUUAGAUACCCUAGUAGUCC
rnacentral:rRNA from 1 species